rnacentral:misc_RNA from 1 species
AGAAGAUGAGGAGGACGAAGAUGAUGAAGAAGAUGAAGAUGAAGAACGCAGAAAACGUGAGGAAGACGAAGAUGAAGAAAAUGAAGACGAAGAUGAAGAUGAAGAACGCAGAAAACGUGAGGAAGACGAAGAUGAAGAAAAUGAAGACGAAGAUGAAGA